UACGGGGGGGGCUAGCGUUGUUCGGAAUUACUGGGCGUAAAGGGCGCGUAGGCGGUUCAUUAAGUUGGAUGUGAAAACUCUGGGCUUAACCCAGAGCCUGCAUUCAAAACUGAUGGGCUGGAGUUCUGGAGGGGAUAGCGGAAUUCCUGGUGUAGCGGUGAAAUGCGUAGAUAUUCGGAAGAACACCAGUGGCGAAGGCGGCUCACUGGUCCGGUACUGACGCUGAGGUGCGAAAGCGUGGGGAGCAAACAGG
rnacentral:rRNA from 1 species